rnacentral:rRNA from 1 species
AUUGAACGCUGGCGGAAUGCUUUACACAUGCAAGUCGAACGGCAGCACGGGGGCAACCUUGGUGGCGAGUGGCGAACGGGUGAGUAAUGUAUCGGAACGUACCCAGUCGCGGGGGAUAACUAUCCGAAAGGAUAGCUAAUACCGCAUACGUCCUGAGGGAGAAAGCGGGGGAUCGCAAGACCUCGCGCGAUUGGAGCGGCCGAUAUCGGAUUAGCUAGUUGGUGAGGUAAAGGCUCACCAAGGCGACGAUCCGUAGCGGGUCUGAGAGGACGACCCGCCACACUGGAACUGAGACACGGUCCGGACUCCUACGGGAGGCAGCAGUGGGGAAUUUUGGACAAUGGGCGCAAGCUGGAUCCAGCAAUGCCGCGUGCAGGAUGAAGGCCUUCGGGUUGUAAACUGCUUUUGUACGGAACGAAAAGGUUCUCUUUAAUAAAGAGGGCUCAUGACGGUACCGUAAGAAUAAGCACCGGCUAACUACGUGC